UUAUCACUAUGAUAAUUUAUCAGAAUGAUAAUUUAUCGCAAUUAAUAUAUGUAUUUCGUUAAAUAUUUUGCAUUUUUCACCUCGCAGUUGUAUCGUACACUCGGAACGAUUACCUGACCACUGCUUUAAGCACUCAAAAGAGCCCGCUAUAUCGUCUGCGCGGGGCAGUCGGG